rnacentral:rRNA from 1 species
AUGGAUGCGGCGGCGAACCCUAGCCGCAGCGGCUUGCCGGCGCCUCUGCUCUUCUCUUCUCCUAGAGCAACCCCCUCGUCGCACUACGACGCGCCCCCUGCCACUCCUCUUGUAUGCGAAACCCGACGGCCAUGCCAUCCUUCCUUCGCCUCCACCUCCACCUCCCCGACCGCGUGCUCCUUCGCCGCCCAGCGACGGCGGCCGAUUUACGACGGAUCUAUCUGGCGCGACGGUAGCGCCAGCCAACCCAUGGAGGCGGCGCCUGCCGUGCCUCUGCUGCUCUCCCCGAGCUCCCUCCUCAUCUUACGACGACGCCUCCGCACCCCCUCCACCUCGACUCGGGCUUUGGUUCAGCAAUGCCUCAGGGGGGAGAUAGUCGUCGGAGGUCCCAAUGUAAAAAAAGACCGUUCCAAGAAUGAAGCUAAAACAAAUGAGGUCUAUCAGGAUAGAGAGGUCGUCAUCGCCAUCACGUCCAUGCUGUGUCAACCCCACUGCCCCCUUUAUUUUGUCUGUGCCUUUUACAACUCUGGUGACCGCCUCUCGCUCGACUCGGGCAUCGGGCGUUUCCAUCCAGAUGGCUGCCUCAAAUUUAUUGACCGCAAGAAAGAUAUUGUCAAGCCUCAACAUGAUUAUAGACUGCAAAUGUUCAUGCUCUCAAUAUCUAGUCAACCUGGACAUGGUGUGGGCAGGACUGGAGGGUGCCAGCAUUCCGAUAACAUGAACAUUACAAGCUUUGUACUUUGGAUGGUCAAAUUAUUAGUAUUCAACAACUUGUGCCACCAAGCCCCGUACUGCUGCAUUUCAUUGCCAUGUACUUCUACUAUUGUGCUUGCAUUGGCAUGCGCCUUCGGUAAUGAUUUGUCAGGGCGUUGUGCCUCAUAUGACAACAAUAAUUCUGAAACUCUUGAGUCAUCUUCAAGUUUUAAUCUUGGCAAACUGUAA